UACGGGGGGGGCAAGCGUUGUUCGGAAUUACUGGGCGUAAAGGGCUCGUAGGCGGCCAACUAAGUCGGACGUGAAAUCCCUCGGCUUAACCGGGGAACUGCGUCCGAUACUGGAUGGCUUGAGUUCGGGAGAGGGAUGCGGAAUUCCAGGUGUAGCGGUGAAAUGCGUAGAUAUCAGGAGGGACACCGGUGGCGAAGGCGGUUCUCUGGGCCUUACCUGACACUGAGGAGCGAAAGCGUGGGGAGCGAACAGG
rnacentral:rRNA from 1 species